UUACAGGUAUGUCUAGCAAAAACUACAAAAACUCGCGAAACAAAUUUCUUUAGAAAUUGAACUCUUUUCAUUCCACCUUGUUCACGUACUUCACCCUUCCAUCUUUCUAUCCUUAAACCUUCUCCCUAAAAAAUUCACGCAUCAAACCUUCUUCAUCAUUCAAACUUAGAACACUCGCCUUCUUUAUCAUUUCAACUCAUAGCCCUCUUUUCCCGUCAAAUUCAGCCCCCAUUUUGAAUCUCAAAAACCCUAAAACCAAAAUUAACUGUACCCAUAAAUCAAAUAUCCUAAAAUCAAUUCAAUCUACGUUCCAAAGUCUUUUGAUUAGUUUCUAGAAAUAUUUACAAAGGUUCUUGUAUCUCUCUGUCUCACCGUUACUGUAUUCGAUCUCACCUUACUGUGUAGCCGUAUUUCGUCAUGUUGCCCUCCAUAGUAGUUGUCCUUGUCAAUUUGCAUUAUUGUUGGUUGAGCUUCGUCAUUCUGUUCUUACAAGAAAUCCCAUAAAUCAUCUAAUCUCGCUCUUGUCUAGCUCUUUUGUUGCAAUACUCGAACACUACAACUCUUUUGUUGCAAUACUCAAACACUACAACUCUGACACAAAGAAUAUAUGCAGAUGAUGACCAGCCCUCUCAUCCUGUUGAAGCUGAAAUAAAAUGAUCUCAUCAAGUUAAUUUCUAUGGUUUGAGGCUUGAGAAGCUUUCGAAAGAUCCAAGUAAAGGAAAUGCAUGGCAUUCUGGUCACAUUGCUUUUGGAAGAUAUCAAUUUUUAAUUGUAGUAACCUAAAUUAAGAACUACAUCAUAUAAUAGACAAGAAGGUUCUAAUACAAUGCGGGAGUUCUCUAGGAGUGGGAGCGAGUACAUGGCAGUAGGUGAAUCGGCUUCCCCGAAGGCAACAGAUCCCAUGAGGAAAGUUUCAGUUGUACCUCUUGUGUUUCUCAUAUUCUAUGAGAUAUCAAGAGGACCUUUUCGUGUGGAGGUUACUAAGAAAGCAACUGGUCCUUUGUUAGAUUACUUGGAUUUUCGGUUUUUCCGUUCAUAUAGUGUUCCUGAAGCUUUGAUUUUCGGAAUCUCAAUUAUUGGGACUCCAUAAGAACUUUUCCCGGUGAUGUUGAAAAUCCAUAGAAAACACUUCCGAAAGGCUUGUUUUCCGCGUUGAUUCUGGUUUUUGUGGCGUACUUCUUUCCUCUUUUGAAUUGUACAGGUGCUCUUCCUGUUCAGCGCGAGUUAUGGACUGACGGUUACUCCUCUAAAAUUGCGAUGAUCAUCGGAGGAGUGUGGUUGAGAUGAUGGCUUCAAGCUGCAGCUACAAUGAACAUGGGAAUGUUUGUUGCUAAAAUGAGCAGUGACUCCUUCCAACUUCUAGGACUGGCUGAGAGGGGAAUGUUGCCAGAGUUUUCACCAAGAGGUCUCGCCACGGGACAUCUCUUGCAGGAACGCAUUUUUCAGCCUCUGGUAUAAUUUUACUAUCGUGGCUGAGUUUUCAAUAAAUAUAUCUGCAGAAAACUUCAUGUAUUGUAUUGGUAUGAUUCUAGAGUUUAUUGCUUUCAUAUUGUUGAAGAUCUAACACCCGAAUGGACCUCGACCUUACAAGGGGCAGAAAAUGCAUUAAAGAGUAUAGUCAAGAAUUCAAUUAAUGUGAGAAAGUUAAGUGAAUUGAGUAGUGCCAAGGACUACCAAACAUUCUGAAGUGCAUUCAUCUUUUUAUCAAUGAAAUUAUAAAAAUGAAUGAUUUAAAAAAAUUGGUAUGUAUUUUCUUUAUGAGUUACAAUCUUAAAGUUAUGUAAGAAAAUAUUUCAUUUUGGAUCAUUUAUGUUAUGUCUUUUUUUAAAUGAAUAAAACUUUGUAUAGUUUGUUAGUUAGAUAUGGAAAUUAGGAUUCCAAGAAGACUUGGAAACAUUAUGUAUUUAGGCAGCAUACACUGUUUGGAAAUCAUAAGACCAAAUAGAAAUGCUAGUAUCAUGUUAAAAUUGGAACUAGGUUCUUUUUAAUAUUUGUGAAAUACUAUAUCUAAUAAAGGAGGAUGUGAA